UGCUUUGUCAUGAAAGUGAAAGCUGAGGAGGAGUUGCAGGUGAUUCAGCCUGAGAAGUUCAUGUCAGUCGCAGCUGGAGAGAUGUCCACUCUGCACUGCACUGCGACCUCCCUGUUCCCUGUGGGGCCUGUCCAGUGGUUCAGAGGAGCUGGACCAGGCCACGAAUUAAUCUACAGUCCAAGAGAAGGCUACUUUCCCCAGGUAACAACUAUUUCAGACUAGACAAAGAGAAACAACACGGACUAU
rnacentral:lncRNA from 1 species